rnacentral:rRNA from 1 species
UACGUAGGUGGCAAGCGUUGUCCGGAUUUAUUGGGUUUAAAGGGUGCGUAGGCGGUUUUUUAAGUCAGUGGUGAAAUACUUCAGCUUAACUGGAGAGGUGCCAUUGAUACUGGGAAACUUGAGUACUGAUGAGGUAGGCGGAAUGGACGGUGUAGCGGUGAAAUGCGCAGAUAUCAUUUGGAACGCCAAUGGUGAAAACAGGUCGCUGGGAGUGUGCUGACGCUGAGACACGAAAGCCAGGGGAGCAAACGGG